rnacentral:rRNA from 1 species
GAUGAACGCUGGCAGCGUGCCUAAUACAUGCAAGUCGAGCGAAUGGAUUAAGAGCUUGCUCUUAUGAAGUUAGCGGCGGACGGGUGAGUAACACGUGGGUAACCUGCCCAUAAGACUGGGAUAACUCCGGGAAACCGGGGCUAAUACCGGAUAACAUUUUGAACCGCAUGGUUCGAAAUUGAAAGGCGGCUUCGGCUGUCACUUACGGAUGGACCCGCGUCGCAUUAGCUAGUUGGUGAGGUAACGGCUCACCAAGGCAACGAUGCGUAGCCGACCUGGGAGGGUGAUCGGCCACACUGGGACUGAGACACGGCCCAGACUCCUACGGGAGGCAGCAGUAGGGAAUCUUCCGCAAUGGACGAAAGUCUGACGGAGCAACGCCGCGUGAGUGAUGAAGGCUUUCGGGUCGUAAAACUCUGUUGUUAGGGAAGAACAAGUGCUAGUUGAAUAAGCUGGCACCUUGACGGUACCUAACCAGAAAGCCACGGCUAACUACGUGCCAGCAGCCGCAGUAA